GAUGAACGCUGGCGGCGUGCCUAAUACAUGCAAGUCGAGCGAACAGGCGAGGAGCUUGCUCCUCUGACGUUAGCGGCGGACGGGUGAGUAACACGUGGAUAACCUACCUAUAAGACUGGGAUAACUUCGGGAAACCGGAGCUAAUACCGGAUAAUAUAUUGAACCGCAUGGUUCAAUAGUGAAAGACGGUUUUGCUGUCACUUAUAGAUGGAUCCGCGCCGCAUUAGCUAGUUGGUAAGGUAACGGCUUACCAAGGCAACGAUGCGUAGCCGACCUGAGAGGGGGAUCGGCCACACUGGAACUGAGACACGGUCCAGACUCCUACGGGAGGCAGCAGUAGGGAAUCUUCCGCAAUGGGCGAAAGCCUGACGGAGCAACGCCGCGUGAGUGAUGAAGGUCUUCGGAUCGUAAAACUCUGUUAUUAGGGAAGAACAAAUGUGUAAGUAACUAUGCACGUCUUGACGGUACCUAAGCAGAAAGCCACGGCUAACUACGU
rnacentral:rRNA from 1 species